ACAUUUGUGGCCACCUGUAUUUUCAAGGUCCUACAGUCCCACUUCUUUUCUUUUUUUUUUAUCAAAUUAAUUUUUAUUUGAAUAAAAUUUUGUACCCAAAGAACUCCUUCCUUCUUCCCUGUUGCAAGAUCUUACGUGAGCCAUAAAACCACCUCCUGAGCUUUCCACAUUGUACUCAUUUUUGCCUUUGUGAAAUAUUGCAGUUGCUUAGCACUUCUACUCCCUCAGAACCAACCAGAAAAAUAUUCCCAAAUUGAAAUCUGACACGAUUUUUUCUAGCAAAUCAACAAAAAAAUUCAACAAUCAAC
rnacentral:lncRNA from 1 species